rnacentral:rRNA from 1 species
AACAGGAUUAGAUACCCUGGUAGUCCACGCCGUAAACGUUGGGCGCUAGGUGUGGGGGCCAUUCCACGGUUUCCGUGCCGCAGCUAACGCAUUAAGCGCCCCGCCUGGGGAGUACGGCCGCAAGGCUAAAACUCAAAGGAAUUGACGGGGGCCCGCACAAGCGGCGGAGCAUGUUGCUUAAUUCGAUGCAACGCGAAGAACCUUACCUAGGCUUGACAUGCACGGAAAUCUCGCAGAGAUGUGGGGUCCGUAAGGGUCGUGCACAGGUGGUGCAUGGUUGUCGUCAGCUCGUGUCGUGAGAUGUUGGGUUAAGUCCCGCAACGAGCGCAACCCUCGUUCCAUGUUGCCAGCACGUUAUGGUGGGGACUCAUGGGAGACUGCCGGGGUCAACUCGGAGGAAGGUGGGGAUGACGUCAAAUCAUCAUGCCCCUUAUGUCUAGGGCUGCAAACAUGCUACAAUGGCCGGUACAAAGGGCUGCGAUACCGUGGGGUGGAGCGAAUCCCAAAAAGCCGGUCUCAGUUCGGAUUGGGGUCUGCAACUCGACCCCAUGAAGUUGGAGUCGCUAGUAAUCGCAGAUCAGCAACGCUGCGGUGAAUACGUUCCCGGGCCUUGUACACACCGCCCGUCACGUCACGAAAGUCGGUAACGCCCGAAGCCGGUGGCCCAACCCUUGUGGAGGGAGCCGUCGAAGGCGGGGAUCGGCGAUUGGGACGAAGUCGUAACAAGGUAACC